rnacentral:misc_RNA from 1 species
UCAUGACAUUCUAGCCCACCCCCUGGAAGAGCCAAAACAAUCCUAUCCAACUAUGCCUCAUCUAUCUACUCCUGCAUAAACACAACCAUAUUGCUUUAGUUAUUUCCAUAUUAAAUGGGGGCAAAACUGAAAAAGAACACAACUGGCUUAAAUAUCAAGUUGAUCUCCUAAACAGAUGUAGACACACAUGAGCGAGCAGACUCAUGUGAUAUAACUGAUACUACAGCCUCUAAAAAUAGUACUCAUGGGUGAGUACCUGGACAAUGUUUAACAAUAGGGCGAGUGUCCUAGCUAUGUAUGGUAGCUUGGACUCUAUCCAGGUAUCCUCCUAUUGGUCGGUUACACGAUACCAAUCUGUGGGUACAAUUUUUAGAGGCUAAAGGCUAUAGUAUCAAUAACAAUGGUCUCUUUUUCUGAAUUGUGUAUUCUAGUCUAGUAUUCCAUGUCAUCAAACUCACAUUUAUGAUAGAAAGAUGAGGUGCUUUCGUAUGUUUUAGGGAUGCUAUAUUCAUUUCAUAUUUAUUUGUUUCGACAAUGAAUCCUAGGCUUAUUUUUCGCUUUGC